UGGUCAAGUUAUUAAGGGUGCAGGGCGGAUGCCUUGGCACUAGGAGCCGAUGAAGGACGUGAUAAGCUGCGAUAAGCUUCGGGGAGUUGCACGUAAACUUUGAUCCGAAGAUUUCCGAAUGAGGAAACUCACUUAGAGUAAUGUCUAAGUAUCAUUAAGUGAAUACAUAGCUUAAUGAGGGGAACUCAGGGAACUGAAACAUCUAAGUACCUGAAGGAAGAGAAAGAAAUUCGAUUCCGUAAGUAGCGGCGAGCGAACGCGGAUUAGCCCAAACCAAUAAAGUUUUCUUUAUUGGGGUUGCGGACAUAUCAUAACGAAGAGGUAUCGUAAUUGAAGAGGUUUGGAAAGACCCACCACAGAAGGUAAUAGUCCUGUAUGUUAAACGAGAAGACUUUAGAUAUGAUCCAGAGUACCACGGGACACGUGAAACCCUGUGGGAAGCAGGAGGGACCACCCUCCAAGGCUAAAUACUACCUAGUGACCGAUAGCGUAUAGUACCGUGAGGGAAAGGUGAAAAGAACCCCGAGAGGGGAGUGAAAUAGAACCUGAAACCCUGCACUUACAAGCUGUGGAAGCACAUUUCUUGUGUGACCGCGUACUUUUUGUAGAACGGGCCAACGAGUUACGUUAAGUAGCAAGGUUAAGCACUUAAGGUGUGGAGCCGUAGCGAAAGCGAGUUUUAACUGAGCGUUCAGUUACUUGACGUAGACCCGAAACCGGGCGACCUACCCAUGAGCAGGAUGAAGCGAAAGUAAAAUUUCGUGGAGGUCCGAACCCACGAGCGUUGAAAAGCUCGGGGAUGACUUGUGGGUAGCGGUGAAAUUCCAAUCGAGCCCGGAGAUAGCUGGUUCUCCCCGAAAUAGCUUUAGGGCUAGCCUCAAGGUGAGAGAUACGGAGGUAGAGCACUGAAUGUCCUAGGGGGUAUUGCACCUACCGAAGACUAUCAAACUCCGAAUGCCGUCAUCUUAUACUUGGGAGUCAGACUGUGGGUGAUAAGAUUCAUAGUCGAAAGGGCAACAGCCCAGAUCGUCAGCUAAGGUCCCUAAAUGUAAGUUAAGUGGUAAAGGAUGUGGGAUUGCACAGACAACCAGGAUGUUGGCUUAGAAGCAGCCACUCAUUCAAAGAGUGCGUAAUAGCUCACUGGUCGAGUGAUCCUGCGCCGAAGAUUUCCGGGGCUAAAACUUACUACCGAAGCUACGGCAUCAGUAAUGAUGGGUAGGGGAGCUUCCCAUACGGGUUGAAGCAUGACCGUAAGGACAUGUGGACAGUAUGGGAGUGAGAAUGUUGGCAUGAGUAGCGAGAUGUGGGUGAGAAUCCCACAGGCCGUAAACCCAAGGUUUCCAGGGGAAGGUUCGUCCGCCCUGGGUUAGUCGGGACCUAAGCUGAGGCCGAAAGGCGUAGGUGAUGGACAACAGGUUGAUAUUCCUGUACUACCGAUAACCGUUUGAGAGAAGGGAUGACACAGUAGGAUAAGCUAAGCACACUGUUGGUUAUGUGUGCCCAAGCAUUGAGGCAGUCAAAGUAGGCAAAUCCGCUUUGAUAAUGCUGGGAUGUGAUGGGGAGCGAAAUUUAGUAGCGAAGUAGCUGAUUUCACACUGUCAAGAAAAGUCUCUAUCGAGGUUAAAGGUACCCGUACCGCAAACCGACACAGGUGGGUGAGGAGAGUAUCCUAAGGCCAGCGAGAGAACUGUUGUUAAGGAACUCGGCAAAAUGACCCCGUAACUUAGGGAUAAGGGGUGCCACCAUCAGGUGGCCGCAGAGAAUAGGCCCAAGCGACUGUUUACCAAAAACAUAGGUUUCUGCUAAGUCGCAAGACGAUGUAUAGGAGCUGACGCCUGCCCGGUGCUGGAAGGUUAAGGGGAUCUGUUAGAGCAAUCGAAGCAGUGAACUUAAGCCCCAGUAAACGGCGGCCGUAACUAUAACGGUCCUAAGGUAGCGAAAUUCCUUGUCGGGUAAGUUCCGACCCGCACGAAAGGCGUAACGAUUUGGGCACUGUCUCAACAACAGACUCGGUGAAAUUGUAAUUCCGGUGAAGAUGCCGGAUACCUGCGACAGGACGGAAAGACCCCAUGGAGCUUUACUGUAGCUUGACAUUGGGUCUUGGUACUACAUGUACAGGAUAGGUGGGAGGCUUUGAAACCAGGACGCCAGUUUUGGCGGAGCCAUCCUUGGGAUACCACCCUUGUAGUACUGGGACUCUAACCAUAGGCCAUGAAUCUGGUCUUGGGACACUGUCAGGUGGGCAGUUUGACUGGGGCGGUCGCCUCCCAAAAGGUAACGGAGGCGCUCAAAGGUUCUCUCAGUACGGUCGGAAAUCGUACGUAGAGUGUAAAGGCAAAAGAGAGCUUGAUUGCAAGACAUACAGGUCGAGCAAGGAUGAAAAUCGGACUUAGUGAUCCGGUGGUUCUGCGUGGAAGGGCCAUCGCUCAACGGAUAAAAGCUACCCUGGGGAUAACAGGCUUAUCUCCCCCAAGAGUCCACAUCGACGGGGAGGUUUGGCACCUCGAUGUCGGCUCAUCACAUCCUGGGGCUGUAGUAGGUCCCAAGGGUUGGGCUGUUCGCCCAUUAAAGUGGUACGCGAGCUGGGUUCAGAACGUCGUGAGACAGUUCGGUCCCUAUCCGUCGCAGGCGUAGGAAAUUUGAGAAGACCUGUCCUUAGUACGAGAGGACCGGGAUGGACGUACCUCUGGUGUACCAGUUGUUCUGCCAAGGGCAUGGCUGGGUAGCUAUGUACGGAAUGGAUAAGCGCUGAAAGCAUCUAAGCGCGAAGCCAACUUCAAGAUAAGAUUUCCCACCGCAAGGGUAAGACCCCAGAAAGACUAUCUGGUUGAUAGGUCGAAGGUGUAAGUGCAGCAAUGUAUUUAGCUUAUCGAUACUAAUAGGUCGAGGACUUGACCAAU
rnacentral:rRNA from 1 species